AUUUAUCCUAUAGCUAAAUUUGAAAUUUCCCGUCUUGAGAUCAGUUAAAUUUCUAUGUACUUCCUGGAUACUGUUCGUAGUUGUUUUCUUUAGUUUAUUUUUGUAGAAACAAACUGAUUCCAAAUGCAGGUUUGAACCUGAACAGACCAGAUCUGAAUGUGAUAGAAGUUUUUGUGAAAAAGAUUUCCCUGUUUUAGGAGUAAAUGCAGACGAUUCUUCUUCAUUCGUUCACGUUCCUUCAUGGCAGCGAUGGAAACCGCUCGAAGACAAUGUGGCGGCAGGCGGUGACCUCCACACACACGUGCACGCCGCACAGGACGGAGAUAUCAGCGGAGGCAGAGAGGAGGACGUUUGCAGGACGAUGACCUGAUGACAGAUGGAGCGAUAGCGGACAGAUAGUUGAGGCAGAGACACAGAGAUGUGGCGGCUGAGAGGAUUAGAGGAGCAGAGGUGGCGCUCCGCCGCGCCGGAACAUGAUACACUACAGUCACAUUCAUACCAGUAAAGUUAUGUCCACUUAGGGGCGGAGCUAAACCAUAUUAUACAGAGGGGCUAAAAUGUAUUUUACUUUUUAAUUUUUAUUUUUGCAAUGCUUAAUAAGGUGAAGUUUGUCAAUAAUUAUACUAACAUUGCUUCAAAAAUUGUGGGGCUUACCCGCCCGUAGCUCCGCCCCUUUGUCCACACCUGCCAAAAGUGAAAACAUCUUUCCCUUCACUCCACCUUUUUUAUCACCAAAACAGUUCAUGCCGGAAUUUUAAAUUUAUACACAAUCUUUACACAAAGGUCCGGAUAAAUACUCGAUUCUGAUUGGCUGCUGGGUGUUUAUUCACACCUGAAAAAAGAAGUUCUGGUCACACAUCCCAAAUGUUCUGCAUCACUUCUUCAAAACAAACUUUUCUUCAUCAUCUGGACAAAAACAAGCGGUAAGAGGUCAUCUCAAGGUCAAGUCGAGCACAUUGUUUGUAGGUCAAGUUGAGGUUAACGUUGGUAUGUUGUCAUGUUACCAUGACAACAUGCCACACCACGUAUUAAAUAGUCUGGUUUUGUUUUUAAGACAUCUAAACUAACGAAUAACAGGAAUAAAGUACUAAAAAUAUAUCUUUUGUAAGUAACCAUGUUAUAUAUUCUUUAUUGUCUAUUGUUCCUCUGUUUGGUGCAGUGUGAUUCAUGUGUUGUUCCUCUC